GCAUCGAUAGCUCAGUGGCAGAGCGGUGGGGUGUUUACCCAUGCGUCCCGGGUUGGACCCCCGGUCGACAUG